rnacentral:rRNA from 1 species
CCUACGGGAUGCAGCAGUGAGGAAUAUUGGUCAAUGGCCGCAGGGCUGAACCAGCCAAGUCGCGUGAGGGAUGAAGGUCCUAUGGAUUGUAAACCUCUUUUAUCAGGGAACAAAGGGUGCCACGUGUGGCGCUUUGUGAGUACCUUACGAAAAAGGAUAGGCUAACUCCGUGCCAGCAGCCGCGGUAAUACUGAGGAUGCGAGCUUUAUCCGGAUUUGUUGGGUUUAAAGGGUACGAAGGCGGCAUGUCAAGUCAGGGGUAAAAUUGCGGGGCUCAACACCGGCGUGACGUUGAUACUGGCAUUCUUGAGUGAGCUAGAGGUAUGCGGAAUGCGUGGUGUAGCGGUGAAAUGCAUAGAUAUCACGCAGAACUCCGAUUGCGAAGGCAGCCUACCGAGGCUUGACUGACGCUGAUGCACGAAAGCGUGGGGAUCAAACAGGAUUAGAUACCCGAGUAGUC